rnacentral:rRNA from 1 species
CAGCAGCCACGGAAAUACGUAGGUCCCGAGCGUUGUCCGGAUUCAUUGGGCGUAAAGCGAGCGCAGGCGGUUGUGUAAGACAGGUGUGAAAUCCCCGGGCUUAACCUGGGAACUGCGCUUGUGACUGCACAGCUAGAGUAUGGCAGAGGGGGGUGGAAUUCCACGUGUAGCAGUGAAAUGCGUAGAGAUGUGGAGGAACACCGAUGGCGAAGGCAGCCCCCUGGGCCAAUACUGACGCUCAUGCACGAAAGCGUGGGGAGCAAACAGGAUUAGAUACCCGCGUAGUCCCUGUCUCUUAUAC